rnacentral:rRNA from 1 species
AGAGCGAACGCUGGCGGCAGGCCUAACACAUGCAAGUCGAACGGACUCUUCGGAGUUAGUGGCGGACGGGUGAGUAACACGUGGGAACGUGCCUUUAGGUUCGGAAUAGCUCCUGGAAACGGGUGGUAAUACCGAAUGUGCCCUUCGGGGGAAAGAUUUAUCGCCUUUAGAGCGGCCCGCGUCUGAUUAGCUUGUUGGUGAGGUAAUGGCUCACCAAGGCUACGAUCAGUAGCUGGUCUGAGAGGAUGACCAGCCACAUUGGGACUGAGACACGGCCCAAACUCCUACGGGAGGCAGCAGUGGGGAAUCUUGCGCAAUGGGCGAAAGCCUGACGCAGCCAUGCCGCGUGUAUGAUGAAGGUCUUAGGAUUGUAAAAUACUUUCACCGGUUGAAGAUAAUGACUGUAGCCGGAAGAAGAAGCCCCGGAUAACUUCGUGCCAGCAGCCGC